rnacentral:rRNA from 1 species
AGAGUUUGAUCCUGGCUCAGAUUGAACGCUGGCGGAAUGCUUUACACAUGCAAGUCGAACGAUGAACCUUAGCUUGCUAAGGGGAUUAGUGGCGAACGGGUGAGUAAUAUAUCGGAACGUGCCUUGUAAUGGGGGAUAACUAGUCGAAAGAUUAGCUAAUACCGCAUACGCCCUGAGGGGGAAAGUAGGGGAUCUUCGGACCUUACGUUAUAAGAGCGGCCGAUAUCUGAUUAGCUAGUUGGUGGGGUAAUGGCCUACCAAGGCGACGAUCAGUAGCUGGUCUGAGAGGACGACCAGCCACACUGGAACUGAGACACGGUCCAGACUCCUACGGGAGGCAGCAGUGGGGAAUUUUGGACAAUGGGCGCAAGCCUGAUCCAGCCAUUCCGCGUGAGUGAAGAAGGCCUUCGGGUUGUAAAGCUCUUUCGCAAGGGAAGAAAACUUACUUUCUAACAAAGAGUGAGGCUGACGGUACCUUGAUAAGAAGCACCGGCUAACUACGUGCCAGCAGCCGCGGUAAUACGUAGGGUGCGAGCGUUAAUCGGAAUUACUGGGCGUAAAGCGUGCGCAGGCGGUUUGGCAAGUCAGAUGUGAAAUCCCCGAGCUCAACUUGGGAACUGCGUUUGAAACUGCCAGACUAGAAUAUGUCAGAGGGGGGUAGAAUUCCACGUGUAGCAGUGAAAUGCGUAGAGAUGUGGAGGAAUACCAAUGGCGAAGGCAGCCCCCUGGGAUAAUAUUGACGCUCAUGCACGAAAGCGUGGGGAGCAAACAGGAUUAGAUACCCUGGUAGUCCACGCCCUAAACGAUCUCUAAAGGUUGUUGGUGGAGUAAAAUCCAUGAGUAACGCAGCUAACGCGUGAAGUAGACCGCCUGGGGAGUACGGUCGCAAGAUUAAAACUCAAAGGAAUUGACGGGGGCCCGCACAAGCGGUGGAUUAUGUGGAUUAAUUUGAUGCAACGCGAAAAACCUUACCUGGCCUUGACAUGCCACUAACGAAGCAGAGAUGCAUUAGGUGCCCGCAAGGGAAAGUGGGCGCCGGUGCUGCGUGGCUGUCGUCUGCUCGUGUCGUGGGGUGUUGGGUUGUGUCCCGCCCCGCGCGCGGCCCCCGCCCCUCUUUGCCGUCCUUUUGUUGGGCGCUUUUUUGGGGCUGCCGGUGGCCCCCCGGCGGGGGGUGGGGGGGGCGUCUUGUCCUCUUGGCCCUUCUGGCCGGGGCUUCUCCCGUCUUUCUCUGGUCGGUGCUGCGGGUUGCCCCGCCGCGCGGUGGGGGUGUUCUCUGUUGGCCGCUCGUGGUCCGGGUUGUUCUUUGCUUCUCGCGGGCGCGCGGUCGG